AGCGGGAACGUUUUACACGUUAUGAAAUAACGUUAUACCAAGGACAAGAUAUAUCUAUGAGUUACCAUUAAAGUUUUAUCUAAAGCAGUAGGGCUUUCCACGAUUCCAGCAUCCCUUUAAAUGUAUGCAAACACAUUCUUGAUGACAAAAGGCUCCAGUCUCCAUAGAGCAUGGUGUCUUCUAGGUGAACUGACUUUACCUGGCUGGACAUGGGGGGAUGUAUUAUUAAUAUGAAAUAGGAAAUAACAGCUGCAGGAAUAUUCCUUCAUCUCAUGCAACUGUGCAAGACACAGCAAGUUUCAGGAUGAAUGGGUUGUGAAGUGCCAAAGACAGGACAGCCAUGGUAAACAGGGAACUGGACUUUUUGCAGCUCAUACACAUGGUUGGACAGUUGUUGUACAUGGUGAAGUGUCUCUGUAGUGGCCUGCUUGAUGUGGUCAGUUUGGGACGAAAUUCAUUGAAUCCAAAGUGGAGCAGUGGUCAUUUCUUCCCUUGGAUGACCCAUUGUCAUGACAGUAACUGGACUGCUUGCAGCAAAUACAUUUCUGGAUUUGUGUAAAGAGCUGCUGGCAGACCAAGAGGUCAAUUUUAUACUGAGUGAGAGAAAGUGCUGCCAGAACCACCCAGAACAAGACUUCCAAAAACGGCAGAUCCUGUGGAGCCAGUUAUAUGGAACAGUACAAUUACACAACAAAUGUGGGUUCCAGGUAACACAAAGAAUCAAUUUCUACCAUAUACAUGGAAACUAUAGAGGCAGGGUAUAUAAAGCAAGGAGAUUGUGUUGGACAAUACUCUAUCACUGAAGACAAAUAGACACAUUGGAAAUGUUUAAAAGCGAAUUGAUAUUUCAGCUCAGUUGUGAUGUGUUAUAAUAAUUUUCCCCAUAUGCAUGGAAACUGUUACAGUACUAGUAGAGGUAGCAUAUACAGUGAGAUUGUGGUAGACAAUUAGCCAUCACUGAAGAGAACAAGACUUCAUUGAAAAUGUUUUAAUGUGAAUACAUAUAUUUCAGUGCAGAUAUAAUGUGUUAUAAAUGAUCUCUGUUAUUGUGAGGUCAUUAAGUUGCAUAAUGGACAUUUUAUGGCAUAUUUAUUAUAUACAGACACUCAGUCUGUCUAUAUUCUGAUCACUGUGUCUGUCCAGCACUUUGUGCAUCAUCUUGUUAACCCUAGAACUGAUAAACUGUAUUUUUAUUCAAAUUUUCUGAAUGACUUUGAAUGUGUAUAAGGCAGUGUCCUCCUGAAAAUCGGUAAGAUUGGAUUGUUUUAUGAUGUUGUUUAAUGAUAUCAUAAAUUGUACCUGUUUAUUUUGUUGUCUUUAGCAGUUUGGAAAUGCUGCUACAGUAUG